rnacentral:misc_RNA from 1 species
GAUGAAGAACGCAGCGAAAUGCGAUACUUGGUGUGAAUUGCAGAAUUCAGUGAAUCAUCGAAUCUUUGAACGCACAUUGCGCCCGCCAGUAUUCUGGCGGGCAUGCCUGUCCGAGCGUCAUUUCAACCCUCGAACCCCUCCGGGGGGUCGGCGUUGGGGAUCGGCCCUUUACGGGGCCGGCCCCGAAAUACAGUGGCGGUCUCGCCGCAGCCUCUCCUGCGCAGUAGUUUGCACACUCGCAUCGGGAGCGCGGCGCGUCCACAGCCGUUAAACACCCCAAACUUCUGAAAUGUUGACCUCGGAUCAGGUAGGAAUACCCGCUGAACUUAAGCAUAUCAAUAAGCGGAGGA